UGACUAUAUAUUAAUGAGACUCAGUAAUCCAACCAACACCUGAAAACUCGUCUCAUUACUUUAUAGUCAUGUCAUGUAUGUU
rnacentral:miRNA from 1 species